GAUGACUGCCCUAUGGGUUGUAAACUGCUUUUAUACAGGAAGAAACACUCCGUACGUGUCGGAGCUUGACGGUACUGUAAGAAUACGGAUCGGCUAACUCCGUGCCAGCAGCCGCGGUAAUACGGAGGAUCCAAGCGUUAUCCGGAAUCAUUGGGUUUAAAGGGUCCGCAGGCUGUUUUUUAAGUCAGAGGUGAAAUCCUACAUCUCAACUGUAGAACUGCCUUUGAUACUGGAAAACUUGAGUUAUUGUGAAGUGGGUAGAAUGUGUGGUGUAGCGGUGAAAUGCAUAGAUAUCACACAGAAUACCGAUUGCGAAGGCAGAUCACUAACAAUAUACUGACGCUCAUGGACGAAAGCGUGGGGAGCGAACAGGAUUAGAUACCCUGGUAGUCCACGCCGUAAACGAUGGAUACUAGCUGUUCGUCUACUAUUGGUUAGAUGAGUGGCUAAGCG
rnacentral:rRNA from 1 species